ACUCACGGGUCCCCGACCUGACCGCCACCUUUUCCACCCUGCUCGGCCUGUGUCACCCACUGCUCUGUGAGCCGGCCGAGAGCAGGGUCCAGGGACAUUUCUGGUCCCUGCAGUGGCCCCAGCAGAGCGCCAGGCGCAGAGCGGGCAGGUGCUGGGUGAAGUGAAUUAGAGAAUUGGGGGGCUAGAGGGAGAGGAGGGGAUAUCCCUCAUUCGUCUCCCCUGCGUUUGGGUUUUAGCAACAGAGACUCGGCACAGCCGGUUUGCAGGGAAUCUGCGUCGCUCUGUCCUGAGGCUUUUCUGGGAUGGGGAUUGUGGUCCGCGAGUUGGGCGGGGGGGGGGGGAGAAAGGAGGCCAGGGGUGAGGGGAAAGAAUAUGAACUAAGAAAGUGAGCAAGCUGGAAAUAUCCAGAAAGUAUAACGUUUCCAUCUACUGAGUUCUUACUAUGUGCUGGGUAUUAUUCUAAAAAAUAUAGAUAAGUUAAUACAACCCUGUACCAUCAGCCCCAUUAUUAUUAUUAUUAUCCCCACUUUCCAGAUGCGGGAACUGAGGCACCAAGAGAGGAAAUCUUUGCGCUCUUGUUGGCUUCCGUGACAGUUCACGUAGAUCCCUCGCAAGCUGACUCCCGUGGGACUCGCAGCAUCAUCACGUCCCUCGUCACAUCCACGUCCCAAGCCCUGGAUGUGCUGCUCUUUGAAGCUGAGAUCUUAACUUCCUGCCGCCAGGCUCGCCCAUUUCCUUGCCGGGCAGAAUUUCAAAGUUUUAUGGCAACUUGUACAGAAAUCACAGAGAAGAGACAACGACCGGUGCUGAUGAGCUAGGAGUAGAGAAAGGGGAGUGGGUAACAGGUCUGGGAUGUUGGGGUGAUGCACAACAGGACGAUAGGACGCUAAAAACCUGUGGGAAGCAGGGUGUUACAGGGGUUGCAGGGUGAUCCUCAGGGUCCCAAGAAGUGGGCAGCACUCCGCACACCCCAAG